UGAACUUAAGGAGAAAACAAAUUAUUACAUUACCCAGCAGCUCAUCCAGAGAUAUGACCCUGACCCUGCUGCAAAGGCAGCCGCUGCCACUGUAUUGGCUUCCAAGUUGGGAGCAGAUUCAGGCUUAAAGGUUCAUUUGGGUGACGAAUCCAACCCUAAUGUUCCAUCAGGGAAGAGCAAUGAUGUUGAAUUUGUGCAAGCUGGUAGUGGGCUUCGGAACAGAAAACAAGGUCACUCCCGUUCCAGCAGUGCAGGUAGUGCUUCAUUACAUCAUCCUGAUGAAGAUGCACGUCGUCCUACAGUAUCCGGAAGUCCUCAUGCUUCUGAGCAUAAGCAGUUGGUUGUCGAUCAUUACAAUCCUC
rnacentral:misc_RNA from 1 species